rnacentral:rRNA from 1 species
UAAAAACCUAUAUAGUUUGGCGGCAUUUCAUCUUAUUAGAGGAAUAUGUUUAUUAAUCGACACCACACGAUAUAUUUCACUUAUUCAAAAAUCUUAUAUACCUCCGUCAUAGAAUAAUUUAAAAACUUAUAUUCAAAAUAAUAUUAUAUUAUGAUAGGUAAAGGUGUAGAAAAUUAAUAAGAUUAAAUGUAUUACAUUAAAUAAUAUUUAAGGAAAUUUAUGAUAAAUCAUACUAAAAUCAGGAUUUAAUAGUAAUAUUAGUAAUACUAUUAUAAUAUGAAUUAGAAAACAAAUGUGC